rnacentral:rRNA from 1 species
ACUAAUUCUAGCCCUAAUCUAUAUAAACAUAAUUAUUCUUUUAAAUAAAUCAAAACAUUUAGUCCAAUUAAAGUAUUAGAGAAAGAAAUUUAACACUAGGAGCUAUAGAGUGAGUACCGCAAGGGAAAGAUGAAAGAAUCAUUAAAAGUACAUACAAGCAAAGAUUAAAACUUGUACCUUUUGCAUAAUGAAUUAACUAGAAAAGUUCUAACUAAAAGAAUUGCAGCUAGAAACCCCGAAACCAAACGAGCUACCUAAAAACAAUUUAAUGAAUUAACCCGUCUAUGUAGCAAAAUAGUGGGACGAUUUUUAGGUAGAGGUGAAAAGCCUAACGAGCUUGGUGAUAGCUGGUUACCCAAAAAAUGAAUUUAAGUUCAACUUUAAAUUUACUACACGAAAAUAUAAUCAAAAUGUAAAUUUAAAUCUUAGCCAAAAGAGGGACAGCUCUUUAGGAACGGAAAAAACCUUAAACAGUGAAUAAACCUAAACAAAAUCUAACCAUUGUAGGCCUAAAAGCAGCCAUCAACAAAGAAAGCGUUCAAGCUCAACAUUAAAUUAAUCUAAUUCAUCAAUAAAAAAUUAAUUCCUGAAUUACAAAUUGGGUUAAUCUAUAGACUUAUAGAUGAGACACUGUUAAUAUGAGUAACAAGAAUUUAAUUCUCCAAGCACAAGUGUAUAACAACUCGGAUAACCAUUGUUAGUUACAGAACAUAGGUAAUAACCCUCUAAUAAAAUUACCUAAAAUUAACCCAUUAAUCCAACACAGGAGUGCUAUAAGGAAAGAUUUUAAAAAAUAAAAGGAACUCGGCAAACCAGAACCCCGCCUGUUUACCAAAAACAUCACCUCUAGCAUAUAAAGUAUUAGAGGCAUUGCCUGCCCAGUGACUAAAGUUCAACGGCCGCGGUAUCCUGACCGUGCAAAGGUAGCAUAAUCACUUGUUCCUUAAUUAGGGACUAGCAUGAAAGGCUCAACGAGGGUUCAACUGUCUCUUAUUUUUAAUCAGUGAAAUUGACCUCCCAGUGAAGAGGCUGGGAUAUAACAAUAAGACGAGAAGACCCUAUGGAGCUUUAAUUAACUAGACUAAUUAUUCCAAUACACAAAUCUACUUAGACCCAAAAAUAUGAAUAUAGACUAGUAAUUUCGGUUGGGGUGACCUCGGAGAACAAAAAAUCCUCCGAAUGAUUUUAGCAUAGACCAACUAGCCAAAGCAACUUCAAAAAUCUAAUUGACCCAAUUUUUUUUUUGAUCAACGAACCAAGUUACCCUAGGGAUAACAGCGCAAUCCUAUUUAAGAGUUCAUAUCGACAAUUAGGGUUUACGACCUCGAUGUUGGAUCAGGACAUCCCAAUGGUGCAGAAGCUAUUAAUGGUUCGUUUGUUCAACGAUUAAAGUCCUACGUGAUCUGAGUUCAGACCGGAGUAAUCCAGGUCGGUUUCUAUCUAUUAAUAAUUUCUCCCAGUACGAAAGGACAAGAGAAAUAGAGCCACCUUACCAAUAAGCGCUCUAAAAUCUAACUUAUGAAAUAAUCUUAAUAACAUAAAAAUAUCAAAUUAUCUUCACCUAGAUAAGGUA